AAGUUAAAACAAAGUCCAUAGUAAUAAAACUUAAAACAUAUAAUGGAUAUCAGAAAACCCUCUAUCACUUUCUUUUUUGUAAUAACAUUGGUAACCUCGCUGUCUAGCUACAACACUUUGGCCGCCUCGGUGAUUAACUCAGCAAAUGGUGAUGUUUGCGAUGUUCCAUGUGUGCCUGGAAAGUACGAGCUUUUCGAAUGUGCCCAUGACUGUAUGGUGGAUGGGUUCUCUACAGGAUAUUGUGAUAAAAAAUCUCAAAAAUGCUGUUGCACCAACAGAGGGAUUUAAUAUCAGGUCUUUGAAAAUUGUCUGAGGCUUCAGUUAUGAAGUGUAAUGUUGAAUGAAAUAAAACAAAAUUAUUAUCUAUAUAUA